CGCAAUGGGCGAAAGCCUGACGGAGCAAUACCGCGUGAGGGAUGACUGCCUAUGGGUUGUAAACCUCUUUUUUCAGGGAGGAAUAAAUGACGUGUACCUGAAGAAUAAGCAUCGGCUAACUCCGUGCCAGCAGCCGCGGUAAGACGGAGGAUGCAAGUGUUAUCCGGAAUCACUGGGCUUAAAGCGUCAGUAGGUGGCUCGACAAGUCAACUGUCAAAUCUUGAAGUUCAACUUCAAAAUCGCAGUGGCAACGAUCGGACUAGAGUAUAGUAGAGGUAAAGGGAAUUUCCAGUGGAGCGGUGAAAUGCGUAGCGAUUGGAAAGAACACCGAUGGCGAAGGCACUUUACUGGGCUAUUACUGACACUCAGAGACGAAAGCUA
rnacentral:rRNA from 1 species